rnacentral:rRNA from 1 species
UACGUAGGUGGCAAGCGUUGUCCGGAAUUAUUGGGCGUAAAGCGCGCGCAGGCGGUCCUUUAAGUCUGAUGUGAAAGCCCACGGCUCAACCGUGGAGGGUCAUUGGAAACUGGGGGACUUGAGUGCAGGAGAGAAGAGUGGAAUUCCACGUGUAGCGGUGAAAUGGCGUAGAUAUCGGAAGGAACACCAGUGGCGAAAGCGGCUUCCUGGUCCAGCACCGACGUUCAGGCACGAAAGCGAUGGGGAG